UUCGGUUCAUCACACUUUUACUCUUGCCUGAAUAUCCUUCUCCAGAAUUCUUCCCUGUAAGGUUAGUGCAUAAAAAGGGAUGAGCUCAUGAAGCUCAGUAAGCAUAUACGUACAUUCCAACUGAGUUUUAUUCACAAAACUUGGUGAACCAAAUCAAUAUUUCAUCAAAGUCAUCAAAACAGUUUCACACAUCAAGAUGAGUAUGAGUAUUCAAACACGUUCAAAGUUCACACGUUCUACUGUUGGGGAUCCCGGCCAGCUAAACAAUUGGUUUAGCUUUCCUUCCCGAAGGAAGUAUCAUACUUACUUCCCGAAGGAAGCAUCACACACAGAACAAAUGUAAGAAUACUCAUUUCUCAUCAGAAGUCAUCAACAAAAUGUUCACCGAAACAUCAUAAAAUAUCACAGUGAAGGGUACAGUAUAUACUUACAGUGCACCACGUUCCAGUUUAAGUUGAUUACUCAAUCUCGCCUUCCAGAUAAUCAAUCUUCUAUAUCACAAAAUAAUAAAUUUAGAAUCUUAUCUUAUAAGGACAAUCUCGUAGAAUCUACUUAUAAUUCCUCAUUUAAUAUUUACUUAGAUCGUUUCUCAUUUAUUCUAAAUUACCCUUUUUAUUCAAUAAAUCCACUAAUUUAGUUAAGUAUUUAUUAAAUCAACCAAAUUAUAAAUCUAUUUAAUAUAUCUCAAAUCCAAAAUUAGGCAUCACCAUCAAAUCCGAAAUAUUAUUUACUUAAAUUUUCAUGUUUUACACUUUUACUAAUUCCAUUGUUUAAUCCCUCAAAUUAUUUAAAUACUAAUAUUCAAUAUUCUAGCCAAUGAGGAGCUGACACAUCAUCAUCUUCUACAACACACCCAUCUAGUUUCUCUCUCCCCGAAGUCAACACCCAUAGCCAAACUUUGACCAACCAUAACUCCCUCAUUUUUCAUCCAAAUCAUAUGAUUCAAGAGUCGAUUCCAUCUAUUUUUUCACAAGGAAUCCAAAUAUGUAUUUUAUUUUACAAUCCGACACUAAAUUAGUGCACAGCGGAUUAUUAUCAGAACCCAUUUUUAAUAAAAUUACUAAACUGCCCCUCAACUCCUCUCCCUCAUCUCUCCUUCUUUCUGCCCAGCAGCCACGCUCCGGCGAUUCGCCGCCUCAGCUCCGCCUUCGACCUCCCUCUCCCUCCAGUUCUCUCUCUCUCUCUCUACACACACCCAACUCGACACACACAACCCAUUAGCCAACUCAAUUUCUCGCUCACUGUCUCUCCUCUCACUACUCCGAUCAGCCGCAGAUGAGACAUUGCCGGCGAGCUCCGCUCGGCGGUGCUCCGGCCUAUCUCUCUCCGGCAGCCAUCCUCCCAACCAACACUCUCUCCCAACAAUCAAAAUCCAACCUCAAUUAAUUCAGCUUUACCAAGUCAACACCAAAAACCAAAAUUAUGAAUAACCCUAAUUAAGUUUUUGGAGUUUAAUUUCUACAACUUUGCACACGGAUGUAAAUAUUAAGUUAUAAACAUGAAUUAUAAACCACCUUUCUUAUGAAUUUUACUAUAUUAAAUUAUUAAUACACCAUAUGUGGUCCCAGUAGAGAAGUGAAAGCAUGCUCCUUCAUUUACCAUAAAUAUAUAUGUAUUUGAAGCACAAGACUAGACCAUUACCUCUUUUAAGUUGUUUUAAUUCUCUUUUCCUUUUAAUCUCCCAAAGCUUUCUUUCUGCCGGACUUUCUUCACUUGUUUUCUUCUCCUCGGCUCACUUUUUAACUUCUUUUAUCCAACAAAACUCUAGGCACCCCAAAGUUGGGUUUUUAUAGAGCUCCCCUUAAUUGCGAUUACUCCUAAUAUCCAUUAAUUAAUUUUUAACUAUGCACUUUGCUUGGCCGCCAAGUAUCGAGACUUGGGCACCAAGUGAUUAUGCUUGCGUUCCAAGUUUCGUAACUUGUUCCCUAAGUUCCGUCUCACUAUUAAUAAUUCCCACUUCAUUUAUACUUUUCAUAAUUGUGAAUAUGAAAUAAUUAAAUCUUUGUACAAAAUAAUUAAAUAAGUAUAUUAUUAACUAUUUUAAUAUUUUCUAAUCAAUCCCCAAAUUUAUAAAAUAAUAGAAAUAAUCAUCUUGGCUAAAACGUAAUAUUUAUUCACAAGUCAUUAAAUAAAUAUUCAUGUCUACUAUACCUUUCAUAUGAACGCAGCUAUCGCGUUAAUAUACAUAUUUAAAUUAACGACAGGCCCACACCAAAUAAUAUUACGUGUUUUCUAGAAUUCUUAAAACUACGACCUUAAUAUUUCCCGCAUUAUAAAUCUUAUUAAAUCCGAGACUAAUAAAAUAGUCCUUUUUGCACAAUAAAUAAUUAAAUUAAAUAAUCAUACUUGUAAAUUUCACGGGUGUUACACUCUUCCCUCCUUAUAGGAUUCCGUCCUCGGAAUCCCGAUUGGUGCUAAACAACUCUGGUUGCACUAACGUCUCAUAAAUCCUUCCCUCCUUAUGCUUUAAAUUCUUAACUUCUAAUCCUAGCUUUUCCAUUUCUCGAAUCAAUUCAUGUGGUAACGACAUAACAUUAACUCUUUCUUUUCUACUUAAUGCAUCAUCAACUAAAUUUGCUUUCCCUGUGUGAUAGUUAAUCGUACAGUCAUAGUUCUUUAUCAAUUCUAACCAUCUCAUUUUUGUCUCAUAUUUAACUUCUUUUGAGUAAACAAGUAUUUUCAACUCUUAUGAUCUGUAAAUAUCUCACACUUCUCACCAUAGCAGUAAUGUCACCAAAUCUUUAAAGCAGAUACUAUAGCAGUUAAUUCUAGGUCAUGGGUAGGAUAUCUCAAUCCGUAGUCCUUAAGUUGUCCAGAAGCAUAUGUUAUCACUUUUCCAUGUUGCAUAAGAACACAUCCUAUUCAUAAAAUCCAUAAAUGCUAUAGGUGGAUUAGUCAAUCCGAAGGCAUCUCUUAAAACUUACAAUGUUCAUAUCGGGUCCUCAAGUCCACCUUAGGUAUAUUUUUAGGCUUAAUCCCUAAUUGAUGGUAUUCAGAUCUCAAAUCUAGCUUAUAAAAGUAAGACGUUCUCUUCAAUCGAUCAAACAAAUCAACAACCUUAGGUAAGGGUUAUAUUAUAUAACUUUCAGUAAUCGAUGUGGCAUCCUUCAAAUACGGGGGUCUCGAUUUAACGUCACCAUACAACACCUUCUUAAAACACUUUUUCAAAGCAACUGUAUUUUGAGAAGAACAAAAUCAAAUUAUUUGAAAUCUUAGCAUUUUGAAAAGAACUUAAAGGAAAUAAGAAUUUUGAAAACUUUCUUGGAUAUAUAAAAGUCUUUCACAAUGGUAAUCACCAAUCAAUGAGUUUUCAAAUAGCUUUCAUUUGAAAUAAAAGGAUGACUGAGAGAUCAAUAAUGAUCAAGAGAACUAAGUGUUGCGUGUCUAAAUUAAGACACUACUAAAGGUUGUUAACCUUCUUGUAAUCACAACACACACAAGUGAUGGCGUCCCAUCCAACUCCUAUCACACAGACAGGUAUACCUUGUGUCCCCUAUUAUUAGGGUUGUUCAUCUCAAUCGGAUUAAAGAAAUAUCAAGGAAAUAAGAUUUAUCUCAAAGAUUUGCUUUCGAACGAUUUUCUCACAACUUGGUCAAACUUUAUCUACUAUAAUUACUUCUUAGUCAACUAAGUAUAUAUCACACGAGACUCUUCUAUAACUUGUUUAACUUCCCGCCAAUAAUCAGCCUCUCUAUUAAGCAUAUAAGUAUCAAAGAUGAUUUUCUUAUUCUCUUCUGCACCAAAUAUUUCAAAAGUCUUCUUUAUUUCUCUUAGCCAUAUCUUGGCCUCAACAGGAUCUACAGUCCCUUUUACUCUGGGGGUUCUAGCUAUAGUAAGUACUAAACACAUAGUUUAUCCGCACAUUCACAACUAUGAUCCAUAUAUCCCCUAGACCACUUUUCUAACUUAAAAUCACACUAAUCUAGAGUCUUAAUCCUACUUUCGCCGAUUCUCGAACCUAUAGCUCUGAUACCACCUGUGACGCCCCGGCCCGGGAUGACCUCAGCAACACGACCCGGGGUGUCAUUCUACUGAACACACCGAAAUACAUCUUCAUAAUCUCAAACUUUAACAUAACUUAAAGGCAUAUUUUACCUUACAUCAGAGUCUUACAUCACUCUUCUAAAAGUUCACAAAUAUUUCUUUCGAUUACAUAAUACUUCUCCUAAACUUCUACUUGCAAAUCCAAUCAAGUCUAGCACUUCGGUUCAUCACACUUUUACUCUUGCCUGAAUAUCCUUCUCCAGAAUUCUUCCCUGUAAGGUUAGUGCAUAAAAAGGGAUGAGCUCAUGAAGCUCAGUAAGCAUAUACGUACAUUCCAACUGAGUUUUAUUCACAAAACUUGGUGAACCAAAUCAAUAUUUCAUCAAAGUCAUCAAAACAGUUUCACACAUCAAGAUGAGUAUGAGUAUUCAAACACGUUCAAAGUUCACACGUUCUACUGUUGGGGAUCCCGGCCAGCUAAACAAUUGGUUUAGCUUUCCUUCCCGAAGGAAGUAUCAUACUUACUUCCCGAAGGAAGCAUCACACACAGAACAAAUGU
rnacentral:lncRNA from 1 species